rnacentral:rRNA from 1 species
CGUGGAGACAGGUGGUGCAUGGCUGUCGUCAGCUCGUGUCGUGAGAUGUUGGGUUAAGUCCCGCAACGAGCGCAACCCUCACCUCUUGUUGCCAUCAGGUCAUGCUGGGCACUCUAGAGGAACUGCCCCGGUCAACGGGGAGGAAGGCGGGGAUGACGUCAAGUCAUCAUGCCCCUUACGUCCUGGGCUACACACGUACUACAAUGGCCGGUACAAAGGGAUGCCACACCGCGAGGUAGAGCUAAACCCAAAAAGCCGGUCUAAGUUCAGAUUGGAGUCUGCAACUCGACUCCAUGAAGGAGGAAUCGCUAGUAAUCGCGUAUCAGCACGACGCGGUGAAUACGUUCCCGGGCCUUGUACACACCGCCCGUCACACCACGAAAGCCUGCUGUACUCGAAGUCGCUGAG